AAUGAUGGAGAUAGAAGCCGCGCGUACUACGACGAGCUCAGUUGCAAAGGAGAAGGAGCCACCAGGUUUCAAGCAGGGCCUCGGAUUUUCCUCCUCCUAAGAAAAUGCCCUACUAAAGGCUCGGUUCUGCCUUCCUCGUCGUCAUCUUUUCUCACCACCAGAGCGAGAGAGGAGUUCGGAAAAGAAUAGAAGUAAAGAAGGGGGUAGGGAUACGGAUACGGAUACGGAUCGAGAGGUUAAAUUGGGGAGGGAAAGAAAUGGUGGGUGUUUAUUCAAUGUUGAUUGAGGGCUAUGACAAUUUGGUAUGUUUCUUCCAAUUCAGCCGUGGUUCAAUGUUUUUUGCAUUGAUUGGAAUUAGGAAGCUUUCUUAUUCUGCUUACAGGCGUUUCAAUUUCCUGUAUGAUAUAUAAGCAUUGUAGUAAUUAUCAUAAAUUUACGAUGUGGUUGAUGUUAAUGUUGGUUGAGCUUUGAUUGCUAUUCAUAUUUGUAAACUAAAAAAAUCGAACUCUUUAUAUGUUGUUUUCAUCAAUUUUGAAGUAUGAUAAAAAGCUGUAUCUCUGUGUAAACGGGCACCAGCUCAAAGAGUCAAGAUCAAGAGUCAAGGCCAAGAUGAAACUUCAGCUUGCCGAAACUGGUAUCUCUUUCAUGGAGCUGUGUAAGAGAAUUUAGGUUCAGUCAUCACUUUCACCUUACAUAAGUAAGGAUAGGGAGCUGGGAGCAGUGGAAAUGGAAAGGAGAGCAAUGACAAUGGCCUUGUUGGUCCGUUGGAAGCAUCUUAAGCGAGCAGGUAAGUAAUUUUGAUCAGGUUUUUUUUGUUUGGGGGGUGACUUGUAGUUGAGAUUGAUUGUUCACAAUUCAAGUGACUCUUACCAAUCUUUGAGGUGCUUGUGAAUCCACAAGGAACUUGCCGUGACUGGGCUAGUAAAUUAUAGGAUCUUAGAU